CCUCUGUUCUCCAUGCCUGCCACGCCUCCCACUGGGAGACCCCAACUAGAAAAUGGAGGGCUAGGAGCCUGGGUGAGACAAUCCCUAAUGUAACCCAAAGGCAGUUCUGGGCCACAGAGCAGGGAGGGGAAGGGACAUCUAUAGCUUUGCAGCAGCACAAGGAGAAGAGCCACCCUAAACACCAUACACCCAGAUGGUCUCCACCACUCAAGGCUUUUCUACUUUCGCUCUUCUAGGAAGGCUCUUCACAGACCACACCUACAUCUGACUAAUUGUCUUUCAAAGUUGAACUCAGCCAGUCUCUUAAAUUGCUAAGGUCAGGUGCAGCACUCCCCAAAGAAGUAGAGUUCCAGGCGUUGGUGUAUUUUUCCUAUUGCUUCACACCUGGAACCAGCAGCAUCCAUUACAGCUCCAGGAAGACAUGCAGGGAGCUAAUAUCAAAUCUGCACAUGAUGACUGCAACUUGUUCCAACUACCUGCAGAUUAGCUCAUCUGCUAUGCAGAGGAAACUGAUUUUAAUUUCCCUCUCUCCUACCUACAUAAGUAUCAGCCCUUGUUUCUUCCUCUACAGAAUCUGUGCUAACGUUUUGUAUAUAUCACUUUAUUUCGUCGUUACCCAUUGUGGAGCAGAGCUUAUUCUAACUGAGGCACAGAUCAGGGAACGGAGGCUCCAAUAAAUGAAGUAUCCAGAAGUUACACCAACAGUUAGUGGUGGAACAGUAAAUUGAGCCCAGAUUUGAUUCCUCACCAUUAUGCUCCAAGAACCAUAAAGACCAUAUAAAUAAAAUUAUUAGAUCUGGGGGCA
rnacentral:lncRNA from 1 species